GAUCAUAUUAAGUAUCAUUCUACAUGUCAUAUUGUAAGACGAGAGACAGUACUUCAAGUCUAAAAAAAUUAAAUUUGCAAUUCAUUUUUCUUUUCUUUCGGUGGGUAACGAGUGUAAAAUAAUCAAAGACUAUUUUAUUUGUUUUCAAUUGUUAUGUUAGACAGUACACCAGCUACAUACCUGUCAAGUUGAUAUAUGAUGCAUUUUUGUAAUUGUUUAUUAUAUCAAACCCACACGUUUUAUACGUCAAAUUGUCAGACAGUACAUAUGUAUGAUGUUAGAGAAUUACUAUAUAUAAGGGUUGUUUUAGAUAUCUCGGGGAGAAGGGUCUAGGAGAGACCAGGUGCAUGAUACCUAGUAAUGGGACUCGUAGAUAUUAAGUUAGGUUUUAAAUAUGACAUUUGUUAAGACUUAAGAAGUUACCAAAUGAAUUAUGAAAGUUAUGUACGAAAUAUUCCACUGUGUAAAUAAACAUCAAAAACGUUCAGACUCGCGUGUUGUGUUGUGUUACGUUACACAACCUUCAUUUGCAAUAGUAUCAAUAUUUAAGUUCUAGAAAUGAGUAUAUUACAUUUAUUUACAUCAUUAUUGUCUCUCUAUGCGAGUUUGAGAUAUGUUAUAUCAGUUUACUCCUAUACACGCAAGUUUUGAAGUAAAACCCAGGAAUUCUAUUACUUAUUCCGUUCAAAGUCAGAUAAACUCAUUUUAAACUUAUUGACAUAUGUGUAGAGUUCAUAGUAAAGUUCCUUUAAAAUCUUUCCAAAUUCUUUUUCAUUUUUAUUCCUGUAGAUAAUAUCUGCGAUUGAAGAAAUACUAGUAGCUUUGGUAGUUAUAACAGUGUUUUGUAUAGUGAGAAGCAGGGACAGGGAAGUUGGCAGAAACAGAGAACCGGAAAUACAGAACAACUUUGCUCCUUUUAGAAGAGUAGUUGCAGUCAGACCAGACAAUAAUUACCAAAAUCGAAGGCAAGAUGUCGAAGUCCUGCUAGAGAAUGAAAUCGUAAGAUUGCCACGAAAUGAGAGACAGAAGCUCCCAGAUGAAAUCAGGUGUUUGAUAUGCUUGUUUAACGUCCGCGAUGCCGUUUUCCGGCCCUGCGGACACUUGUUGAUGUGCCAAAAUUGUAUGAUGUUUUACCAGACCUGUCCGGUCUGCGGGGGCAGUUUAAAAGCUUGGGAUGUAGCUUCAUAUAAUUUGUGAGAGGGUUUGGUGUACAGUGGUUACAUUUAUAAAAAUUUUAAUUUAAAACAAAAGUGCAUUUUCAUUCAUUUAUCUUCUUUUAAAAAGUAUUAGAAAAUUAUGUGACUGAAAAUUAUAAGACUGUCGAGUUGUCUGAAGCGUUACACUUAUGAUUUUUAGCUCACGAACUGCUCAAGGUGAGCUAUUGUGAUCGGUCAUUGUCCGGCGUCCUUUGUCGUCAGUCGUGCGGUAUCCGCCAUUCAUCAACAUUUGCCCUGUUAACACACCAGCGGCCACAGUUGUGACUCAGUCUUUAUGAAACUUGGUCAGAAUGUUUGUCUUGAUGAUCUCUAGGUCAAUUUGAAUACUGAGUAAUGCGGGGACAAAAACUAGGUCAGUAGGCCAGAUCAAAGUAAAAUCUUGUUAACACUCUAGAGUCGACAGUUUCAGUUUGAUAUCAAAAUGUUUGAAUCUUGGUUAUAUGGGGUCAGGAACUUUGAAGAUUAAAUCUUGGUUAUGUGGGGGUCAGAAACUAGGUCACCAGGUCAAAUCAAAGGAAAUGAUUGUUAACACUCUAGAGGCCACAUUUAUGAUACUACCUUCAUUAAAAUUGGUCAGAAUGUUUAUCAUGAUGAUUGCUAGGCCAACAUCGAAACUGGGUCAUGUUGGUUCAAAAUCUAGGUCACUCGCUCAAAUCAAAAGAAAAGCUUGCUAACACUCUGGAGUCCACAUUUGUAAUCAUAUACGAAUGAAACUUGGUAAGAAUGUUUUCCUGAUGAUCUCUAGGUCAGUUUCGAAACAGAAUCAUCUGGGGUUAAAAACUAAGUCACCCGGUCAAAUCAAAGGAAAAACUUCUUAACACUCUUAGAGGCCACAUCUAUGACCCUAUCUUCAUGAAACUUGGUCAGAAUGUUUAUCUUUGAGCUCUUUAGGACAAGUUUAAUGCCAGAUCAAAGACAAAUCUUGUUAACACUAGAUUUCAAGUUUGAAACUCAUGAGAAAUGGCCAGAAUGUUUGCCUUGAUGAGAUCUACGUCAGCUUUGAAUAUGGGUGAUCUGGAGUAAAAAAAACCCCAACAAACUAAGUCACCCGGCCAAAUAACAAAAACUCUGUGUGUGUACAAUAGGGACUGCUUUUUGACUGGAUAUUCGUGAAAUUUUACCACAGUGAUCUUUUUGAUAAAAUCUAGGUCAACACCGAAUAUGGGUCAUCUGCGGUCAAAAAUAAGGUCGCAUUGUAAAAUCAAAGAAAAACCUUGUGUAUGCACUAGGGACUGCAUUUUUCAUUUAAUGUUCAUGAAACUUGGUCAGAAUAUCUGUCUUCAUGAAAUCUCAGAAGAGUUUUAAUCUAGGUCAGGUGGGUUCGAAAACUAGGUCACAAGAUCAAAGCAAAGAAAAAGCUUGUUUACACUCUAGGGGCUACAUUUUUUAUUAAAUCUUUAUAAAACUUGGUUAGAAUGUUAUUAGUCUUUCAUGAUUUCGAAUCAGGGUUAUGUGGGCUCAAAAACUAGGUCACUAGGUCAAAUCAAACGAAAAGCUUGUUGAUGGUAUACAUUAUUGUUUUAUUUUCAGUGUAUUCUUUAGGUUAUUCUAAGGUUAAAGUUUUUCGGCAGCCUUUGUGUUUCUGUCAUAUCUUUGUUACUACUGCUUAUAUCUUAUAUCUUACUGUAACUUCACAUAAACAUUGUCCAACAUACAAACAAAGUAUGUAUAGGGGCUGGGUCCAUUAUACCUAAGGUCAAAGUCACCAGGUUAUUAAACUUUGAAUUAUUUUCAAGUUAAUUUUUUCGAAGGCUUCGUUUAUAGACAUAUCUUUGGUACUUUAAAAGAUAAUGACUUGAAAUUAAAGACAUUUCUUUAUCAUCAUCUGCAUAUGUGGUUACAGUCCCCAUAACUCUAAUUGUAUUUUCGACAGAAUUAUGAUCCUUUCAUACUUAAAAGUUUUUUGGCAAUCUUCGCUUUCUGGAUAGAACUUUAGUACAAUAUAAGAUAAUGACUUGAAACAUAAAAUAUAUCUUUAACAGCAUCAUCUGCAUGUAUGGUAACAAUCCCUUUAACUCUGAUUUGUAUUUUUGACCAAAUAGGCCCUUCUUAAUAUUAUUUCAUGAAUAUUGAAUGAGAUUCCCAGAGCGAGGCUGAGAUGGGUCAGUUGUAAACAUCGCUGAUAAGCAGAAUGGCAGCUACUAUAGUGAUAGUGAUAUAUACCAGUUUAAUCCCUAAUAUAACAUUUUUUUCUGCUGAAGAUUAUAUUGGAACUUACAUGUUCUCUUCUAAAGAAUAUUUAUGAAUAUUAUAGUGAAAACUACAUACACUAUUUUUAAAGUAAGAUCAAAUAUCUAUACUUUUGUUGUUAUUGUUUUUCAGCUUGUUUACCUGUAUGAAACUAAAUCAUCAAUACACAUCUUAUCUCUAAAACUGUAACUAAUUGGUCAAUUUAUGCAGCUGUAGAAGUGGCCAGCUUUUAAGUUCUGAUUAUAAACACUGAUUGCUUGUACUAUUAGGGCUAGUAAGUUGUUUACAUGGUAAAGUUUGUUCAGAGCAGUCAGAUUCUUUCCCAACCAUAUUAUUUCAUCUUAUUUUAAGUGACACCAACACAGGCUAGCUUAUGUACCAAUAGCAGCCAAAAGGUAUGCUUAAGUCUGUGAAAACCAUUUAAAACCCCUUAUUUGGUUGUCAGUUUUAGGGCACCCUGGUUAGAUACAAGUCCAGACAGACAGGUCUAUGAUCCGACUAGAGAUCCCUCCACUUGGGCUAUUAAAGAUCAAAUACCUUCAAGUUAAAUUCAGGGAAAAGAAAUGAUCAUCAUAUAGAAACCAGAUUGGCUGGACUACAGUGAAAAACAAACUCAACCAUUGUGGAGAAAUAACAAAGCAUUUAAGUUUAAAUGUUUAAGUUGGCUGGCUAAAGCAAUACAUUCUUAUUUUUUCUAGCGCAGGUCCAGUCCUUCAGUGUUGAUAUUUUCGGCCCUUGUUCAACAUAAAGUAGGACUGCUGUCAAUGUUCUUCCUCCAGUUGUAGAUGGUUCUUUUGUACUCUCCAUUGUUUCACAUUUUUUGUCAGAAAAUAAAUAAAUUAAAGGAAUUUGAAAACAGCCUCCUUCAUUUCUGAACACUGAAAUGACUGAAGUACAAUACAAAACAUAAUGUCAGCAAUUAUUUUAUUUUUCUAACUAUUAGACUUAGUGUUCUUUUUUGAAAUUUGUCUUGGUUUAAGUUGUGGUCAGCCUGUAUAUGCUAGGAACAAACAACUGCUGACUUAGAGAUCUGUUCAGAAAAAAAACAACAGAAAUCUAUGGUAUAAAAAAUAAAUAUGGUAAAAUUGGAAAUGCAUUUUACUAGCAAAUAUACUAUUUACUCUAAUAACCUUCUUUAAUGAAGUUUGUGUAUUUUUGAUAAAAUUUUAUUUGACUGCGAACUUCAUUUUCGAAAAUACAAAAAAUGUGAUUAUAAUGAAUAUUGUAUGUACAUACCUGGAAAUCACUCACUGACACACAUCUCGCCUUAUUUUAAAUACCCAAUUCAUCUUUGGAAAAUUUAUUAAAACUCAGAUUAAAAUAACAUCAGUCAUUUGAAUUACACUUUGGAACACAUUAAAAGUAAUUAAUCAUUAAACUUUGUGUGUUUUCCUAUCUGAUCAUAAACAGUGUACUUUAACACUGGAAGCAGUAAUACUGCUCUGAGAUAAUGUUUACAACAGACCCAUCUCAGCCUCGUUCUGGCAAUGGAAUGUAAAGCAUGCAUAUAAUUUGAGAAGGGGCUAUUAUGCCCCUUUCAUACUUAUUUUUUCUUAAAAACUUGUUUAUACUUUAUGUUCAAAUAGUUUCUUGGACUGUUUUUUUUCUGAUAUAAUUUUAUUCCAUCAAAAUAAAGAAUGUAAUUACCCCUUCCAUACUUGACCUUUAAACCCUCUGAGUAGGAACUUAGUAGGGUCUUUUUAUAUCUUGGUGUAUCUUCGUCUCUUAUUGAGACAUAAUUCGUUUCACUGUCAAAUCGCCGAAUAGUAGAGUGCGCUGUCUUACGGAAAGCUCUUGUUUUCUUGAACUGCUUGAUUGAUCUUAAUCAAAAUUGGUCUAUAGCAGCAUUAUAAGCCCCUCUGUAACAUUUAUCAACAUGGUGUCGCUUGGUCUCUUAUACGGAAUGCUAUAUCUAAAAUUAGAAAUACCUUUGAUCUGUUUCACCUCAUGAUCCGCUGGAUGGGUCUUCAUCAAACUUCUGCAGGUCUGUAGUGUGAUUUUAAGGCCAAGUUUACUCAAUAUGGAGGCACAUGACCCCUUUUAGGAGCCAUUGGAGCUAAAAAUGGGAAUACCUUUAAAUGUCUUCUUCUUAUGAACGUCUUCACGGAUCUUCAUUGCUUUAUGCCGUAAAGGUCUACCAAUUUAAGAUGUAUAAAAGCUAUGACAAGGUAGAUUAAAACUUAGGUAUGUCCCUUUGACAUACCGAAGAGAUGUCAAUAAAAUAGACUGACUCUGUUUUACUGCAAUGUUGGACAGUGUUAAUAUAUAUCUUUUAAGUUACUGUGCAUAAUGACAACUACGUUUUUCUUAAUGUGAUCGAAUUUUAAGAUUAUAUGCCAUGCAAAUGAAAUUUUAUAUGAUUUUCAUACCUCUUUUUGAUAGGACCCGGUUAAAAAUUUUGAUGCUGCAUAGAGCAAUUUUGAAAAAUACAUGCUCCUAAAUUUACGUUUCUUUACAUUUCCAAAUUUGAAAUAUUUUAUGCUUAUUUUAUAGACUUGUUAAUAUACUAUUUGUUGAUAGACUAUUUUGAAAUCUUCAUAUGGUUCUCAGAAUUUUUCUCAGAAAAUGGAUCAGGUGCAUGACCGCAAUCAGCAGGUAGAAGUUCGACUCGCAUUAGAUGCGAGUAUUGUUACUGAAGAGAAGGCGAUUGGCCAGCUUUUUUAAUUUUGAAUAAUGGUGGUUUAUUGCAUCGAGAAGUAAUGUUUUUCAAUGUCCGUAUGUGUCUCAUAAGCGAACAUGGUUGACCCUUUCAGUAGAAGUGACGCUUUCUUUUUGAAUUCUUAUUAUAAAGAGCAGUAAAGACAGCUGUAGAAUGCAAACAUUUAAUGAUCAUAUAGUAUAUCUCACAACAAUAUCUAAACUGGUUUAUAUUGUAAUGCUAGAUUAGCAUAAUAUUGUGUAAAUGUACAAUUUAAAAAAAAUCAAGCUUUGUCACUUGCCAUAUGCAUACUGAUAAGUUUGAAAACUGUUGUUUUUUUUAUAUUUCUUACCAGUUGUAUUGUUAUAUUUCUAUGAUUGUAUUUAUAUAUGUAAUGUUAUUAUUUUGUUAUUGUAUUUAUAUAUGUUUACUCAUUUUAUGAAUGAAUAUUUUUAAUAGUUACCGGUGAUAUAGCAAAACUGUGAUGCUUUGUUGACUGUGAUACUUUUUGUACAUGAUAACUUUACCUGUGCAGCUGACUGAAUAUAUUUUAUAUUUUGAAAAUUUAUGCACUUUGAUUCUUUUUUAUGCAAUAUGUAUUAAAGAUGGUCAGUCAUAUUUGAGCCACAUUUUAUGACAUUUUUCCUAUAUUCUGUUAAGAGAUUUAUUUAAGGAACAAAAAAAAAGUUGUCUAUUUCUUUGAUUUCAAUAUAAUUUUAACUUUACAUUUGCAUUGGAUAAAUAGUUGGUUAUUUUAACAUCCUGAAAUGAAAGACAAAUUUUAAAAGAUUCUGUAGCUUUGGAAUUUAUCUUUUUUCAUUCUAUUUUGGUUGCGCAACCGAGAUAGACAAAGGGAGGUAAUAUAAAUUUAAUACACUUGCAUUUGUAAAGAAUUUCGGCAGAAUAUGUCAGUGCAAAUCUUUACAAUCUGAUGUAGUUGUGAUUAUAUUCAUAUUAUUCCUUAGGCAAAAUAUGUUAAUUUGAUUUAUGCUCAUACUAGAAUAACGCAACCUUGGUUGGGCAACUAGGAUAGGAAAAUCCUAUUUUAGAAAUACUUCCAGUGAAGAUAUGUCAAGUAUUAAGAACUCGGUGAACUUAGAUAAGUGAAAAUGAUCAAUUGGUUAAGUUUUGAACAUAUUCUUUAGCUGACCAAAUCUGAUUAACCACCUUUAUGUAGAACAUUGCUAUGUUGUUAUGACAUUACCUUUUAUUUAACAUUUAGUUAUUUUGUUACUUUUUAUAUUGUUUCAUGUGCUCAUAUAUUUAUGAAUGUAAGUUACAUGUGUUGUAAAUAAUUUAGAUUUUAGUUUAAGAUUUCUUCUUUGGACAAAAGGCUUAGGCCUUGAUGUAUUCUUGAAGAUGUAUACUCAAAUGAGUAGGCAGCUUUGUUUAAACAUAUAUGCGGCGCAAUCAGGGUAUGAUGUAAUGGCGGCGUGGAAGAAAUCUCAAGGAUAUAAAAAUAUGUGUAGUGUAUAUCUGUGAUAAAAUGUAUUUAGGAAUGUGAUAUUUUAGUAGUAUCUGUGAUAAUAGUCGGUCGUGAUUUCAGUUGUAGAAUGGCCAUGACCAUUGUUAUGUUUGUUUAUAUUUGAUGUUUUUAUCUGUAUAUUUAUUGAUCUGAAUAUGAUUCAGAAUAAAACUGUCUUCUGUAAGUUUCA